ensembl:lncRNA
AAUGGAUCAGAUAAUUUAGACAUCAUGAAUUUAAAAAGAGGAUUUAAUUAUAACAAUUAUGCUGAAUUUAUUUUAGCUAGUAAGUACCAUUUUAAUGUGAUAAACAGAAAUAAUGAACAGCUAAAAAAUGAUGUUUUUAUCUUUAGCAUAUUAAGAAAGUCUUUGUCUUUAACUUUUAAUUUGAAUGAAAAAACAUUAUACAAGGAAGUGCUAAAAACUAUUAUUUAUUUGAUAGAAAACAUCAUUCAUGAAAAAAAUGUCAAGAUGUAUUAUUUGGCUGUUUUUUUCCUCGAUUUGUUAUAUAUUAUUAAGAUAGAAGAAAAAAAAAAAAAAAAAAAUUUUUUUUUUAUUUCCAAAUUUUUUCAAUUUUUGAUUGAUAUUUUUCAAUUAAUUUAUAAGGACGAAAUGAAGGCAGGCGUAAGGCUAUGUGGAAAGAGCGACGGGUCGAAGAUGAAAAACGGUGUUACUAAUAGUAUAGGACUUGAAGUAGGUGCACACUUAGACAUAGGUACAUACACAGGAACGAGUACUACUACCCAAAGUAUAUUACUAGAAGAGAUAGAACUUAAUUUGCUUAAUAAAAAAAUAGAAACAAAACCUUUUUGUAGUAUUUUUUCAAUAAAAAGUGAUGACAGGUUUUUUAGUAUGCAGAAUAAAAAUAUAAGUGCUUUAUUUCUUGUAUUGUUUAAUCUAUACGAUUUUUUUAAAAAAAAAAUUAACACUUAUUAUAGCAAGAUCAAAAAGUACAGUAUGGAUUAUGAAGACUAUAUACAUGAUGGUGUGCAUAACUAUAGCAGUAUAAACAGCGGUAGUAUAAAAAAUGGUAGCUAUUUGUACGAUGGUAAUGAUAUGGUUGGAGGUGAGCGUAUGGAGGAUGAACAUAUACACGACGAGCGUAUAGAGGAUGAACAUAUGUACGGCGAACGUAGGACCAAACGUAAUGGUAAAAAUGGGCCCUCUCAUUCAAAUAUGUAUAAUUACGAUAUGGAUAUACAUGCAGACGUCAGUAAAAAUUACAGGGAUAGUAGUACGAACAGAACAUUACAUCGAGUCGAAGCAGAACACAAGUCAGUAAAGCAUAUGAAUGUAGCAGAAGAAACAGAUGUGAUAAAAGAAACUAUCACACCAGAUGAUAGUUUGGUAUACGAUAUGAAAAAGGACAUGAAACAAAAUAAGUACAUGUGGAAUAUUGAUGGAGAAGAAAAUAAACUUAAUGGUAUUCUCGAGAUAAGUGAUAAUGGCACUAAUAAUGAUAAUAAAAAAACGUCUAAUUAUAGAAGCGGUUUUUUAGAAAUAGAGGACUCAGAAUAUGCAAGUGGUUUUAAGCGAAAAGAUAAUUUAUUAAAUAAAAUUGUGGAUGACAAUGUAAAUGGCAUAUGUGAGUUUACGAAUACUACUGUAAAUGAUAGUCGGAUUAAAAUAAAUAAUAAUGUUGAUAAAAACAAUUAUGAUCAUAAUAGUACAAAUUUUAAAGAAAUAGUUCAACCUGAUGAGUAUUAUAAGAAUGUUUAUGAUAAGAGUAUGAAUGGAGAAAUAAGAGAAGUAAAUGUUAAAGGUUUAGUUAAAGAAGAAGAUAAAUUAUACUCUUCUUAUAAUUAUGAACGUGAUACAGGAAUAGCAACCGUUUCGAAAAAAACGACGAACUUAGAAACUAGGAGAAGUAACUAUGCACAUAUGUACAAAUACGAAAAAAAAAUAAACAGCAGUAGAAAUAUGAAUGAAGUAGAUAUUGUCGACACUGCCGAUAUGCAAAACUCAAAAAAAGAUAUGCAAUAUUUGAUGCAUACAUAUAGCAAUACGACUAGCGAUAAUAAUUUAUACGGAAAAACCGAUGAUAGUGCAGGAAGUGUAUCAAAAAAGUAUGAACAUUCAUUUUUUUACGAAUAUAAAAAUGAAAUAACUAACGAUUCUAAAACACAUGAUAAAAAAUUAAAAAAAAACAAAAAAAUCGGGAUGUAUAAAUUAUGUUUACACAAUAUAAUUUAUAUUAUUAAAAUAAUGUAUUUUAUUACAAGAGGAGAAUUUUUAUUUAUAGACAAAUUGUAUACCAUUUUUAAAGAGAAUAUAAAAAACAAACAAGAUGGAGGUAGUAAAAAUAGUACAGUUAAAACAAAAAUUGAAAAGGCCAAAGAAAAAGAUAGCGUCCUCAACAAUAAAGACAAUAAUAACAAUAGUAGUAAAGACAACAAUAACAAUAAUAACAACAAUAGUAAUAGUAGUAGUAUUAAAAAAAAAAAGAAAAAAAAAAAAAAAAAAACCCUAUUAAAAAAAAGAUUCACAAAAAGUAAAAAAGGUAACAAUGACAUGAAUAAUGAUAGUAGUGACUAUGAUACUAGAAAUAAUAAUAAUAAUGAUAAUUAUAAUACACAUUACGGAAACAGAGAUAGUAAUAAUAAUAAUAAUAAUAAAAACGCUAUUGGUAAUGGUAGUACGAAACGUAGUAGUCGAAAAAGCAUAAAAAGUCGAAUGAACGAAAUUUUACAUGAUAAUUUUAAAUUUCGUAAUUACAAAUUGAAUGUUACCAGGGCCGGAAUGGAAAAAUUUAUCAGCAAUAAUAGCAAUAUUGUUUUGGGAAACAAGAAAAUGAAAAAAGAAAAAUGGAAAGAAUAUUUUAAGUUGGAAAAAAAAAUAUUAAAAAAGUUCCAUUUUAAAAAAAAUCAUAGGAAAAACACGGUGGAUAAAAAUAUGACUGAUAUAAGUAAUAAUACUAACGAAUAUAUUGAAAAAAAAAAUAUAUCUUUUUCAUUAACAUUAUUAGCUGAAUUUAACGAUGAUAUAUUAAUGAACUUAUUAGAUGAUUUGUUAAUUUAUUAUGAUAGAUAUAAGACAAAAAUUAAUAUAAAUGAGUUUAUGUAUUUUGUGUUUAACAUUUAUUUGAAUUUGUGUACCCUACCCAAAAAAGUAAUUAACUAUUUUAUUGAUUUUCUAUUUUUAUUAAUAAAAAAAGUAACUCAAACUUCUCAAAAUGUUAUGAGUAGUUUAUGGUUUUUAUAUAUUAUGUUUAUUAUUGAAAAAGGUAAUGUAUAUACAUUUCAUGAUAGGGUACAAAAAAGAAUUAUUAUAGAACAAGUGACUACAUUAAUACAAAUAUCUUUAUAUAAUUAUUAUUCAAAAAAUAUAAAAAAUAAUUAUAAUAUUGCGAUACCUUUACCUUCAAUUGUUUAUCCGUUUAAUGUAUAUUAUAUUUUGCAGAAUUGUUUUAUUAAUUCUGGUAGUAGUGGUAUACAUCAUAGUAAUCAUCAUCAUAUUGAUAAUAUGAUUAAGAUUGGUGUACAUAGAAGUAGUUAUACUGGUUGUGCAAAUUUUAAUAGUAUUUAUAGCGAAGAACGUGAUAGUUUUGGUAGUAGUAGUAUAAGUAGUAUAAGUAGUAAUAACAAUAGUAGUAGUAGUAGUAGUAGUAGUAGUAGUAGUAGUAGUAGUGGUAGUAUAAGUAGUAGUAGUAUUAGUAGUAGUGGUAGUACGAGUAGUAGUAGCAAUAAUAGUAUCAAUAAUAUUGUUAGACAUGUAAGCAUUGACCAACAUAUUAAUGAUGGCUUACAUAUCAAUAGUGACAAACGAAUUAGCAAUAAAGAAUACAGCACUAGUGACGAACAUAAUUAUAUUGAACACAAGGAAUACCAUUACAAAAAAAAAAAUAUAAACAGAUUGUAUAAAAAAAAAAUAAAAGUAAUACAACAACAUUUUAACAUAAAUGAUUAUGCAGAAAUAGCAGCAAUAAAUUCAUUAUCUUUUAUCCUGAUGUGUAUAUAUCACUUAAUUUAUUAUAAUGAAUAUACUGACGAUAAUUUAAACGUUAAACGUGUUAACAGUAAUAUUAAUAAUAUCAAUAACAAUAUUGGUAAUAAUAAUGACGGUAUUAAUACUGUUAGUAGUACUGUUACAGGUACUACUACUACUAAUACUACUAUUAAUACUACUAAUAAUAAUAAUAAUAAUAAUACUACUAAUAAUAAUACUACUAAUACUAAUAGUACUACACUUAUUACUGGUGGUAGUAAUGUCAGUAAUGUUAGUAAUCCUAAUAAUGUUAGUAAUACUAAUGCUUCUACCAUUCCUACUACUGCCACAGCUACAAACGUUAGCAAUAAUACACAUAGUAAUAACAACAUAAACAACAUAAACAGUAGUAUUAUGAUAAAUACAAAAAGUUUUAUUUGUGAAUCUGUUGUUAAUAUGUUUUAUGAGAAUUUUAAUAAAUAUAUCUCGCUCAUUUAUAAUAAUAGUAUACAAAAUGUUUUUUAUAGAUACCCAUUUUUAUUACUUAUGAAUAUGUUAAUGGAUUAUAAUUAUAAUUUUAAAUAUUAUAUUAAAAAAAUAACAUAUGACAUGUAUUCAUAUAUGACUAACUUAGAUAUAAGAUGUGUAAAAAGUUUAUCAAAAAUAUUUAAAAAUUUGAAUGAGACUAGCAUAGAUGAAUUGUUAUUACCACCUAGUAGUAGUAUAUUUUCUUUAAAAUUAAAUAUUAUAAAUUCAAGAAUUAAUUAUAUAAACAAGUUAUCUAUUAUAAUAUUAUCUGCAAAACGAAAUU